rnacentral:tRNA from 1 species
AUGGAUAUAGCUCAGUGGUAGAGCACAUGCAUAGCAAGUAUGAAGUUCUGGAUUCAAUCCCCAAUACCUCUA